UACGGGGGGAGCAAGCGUUGUUCGGAUUUACUGGGCGUAAAGGGCGCGUAGGCGGCGCAACAAGUCACUUGUGAAAUCUCCGGGCUUAACCCGGAGCGGUCAAGUGAUACUGUCGUGCUAGAGUGCGGAAGGGGCAACUGGAAUUCUCGGUGUAGCGGUGAAAUGCGUAGAUAUCGAGAGGAACACCUGCGGCGAAGGCGGGUUGCUGGGCUGACACUGACGCUGAGGCGCGAAAGCCAGGGGAGCGAACGGG
rnacentral:rRNA from 1 species